rnacentral:rRNA from 1 species
AGCGAACGCUGGCGGCAGGCCUAACACAUGCAAGUCGAACGAAGUCUUCGGACUUAGUGGCGGACGGGUGAGUAACACGUGGGAACGUGCCUUUAGGUUCGGAAUAACUCAGGGAAACUUGUGCUAAUACCGAAUGUGCCCUUCGGGGGAAAGAUUUAUCGCCUUUAGAGCGGCCCGCGUCUGAUUAGCUAGUUGGUGAGGUAAAGGCUCACCAAGGCGACGAUCAGUAGCUGGUCUGAGAGGAUGAUCAGCCACAUUGGGACUGAGACACGGCCCGAACUCCUACGGGAAGCAGCAGUGGGGAAUCGUGCGCAAUGGGCGAAAGCCUGACGCAGCCAUGCCGCGUGAAUGAUGAAGGUCUUAGGAUUGUAAAAUUCUUUCACCGGGGACGAUAAUGACGGUACCCGGAGAAGAAGCCCCGGCUAACUUCGUGCCAGCCGCCGCCGUAACAC